UUACAUGAUGAUUAUUUCUAUUUUAAUAUACGCUGGAAAUACCGACUGAGACCUUCGGGUUGUUGACGUUACUAUAAAUGGCUGUUUCUGAUUUG
rnacentral:snoRNA from 1 species